ACGGUGGCGGGCCAGAGCACCCACUGAGCAGGUCGCGCUCUCUCCGUUGUAGAGGGGUGCCUAUUGGUCUUUCAGCACAGGAGGGACCCGCGACAUCAAAUUAUUGCUUCCUCUUUCUGCCUCCCUCUCUAAGACUGGCAGCUGUUGGGAGAGCCAGGAUUCUGUCCUAUCUCAGCUUCCUGAAGACCUAGCACAAUGCCUGAGAGUCUGCACAAGUCGAUCCAAGGACCUGAACCGCCAACAAAUAAAUCAUUUUUCCAAAGUGGGAUCCCAUGGGAGAAAGUGAGUUAUUCUGAUCAUUGGGUUAGUGUCAUCGAACAGAAGUCGUUGGUUCACCCGGCGUUAGCAGAGUCAAGCACUGAGAGUUACAGUCAAGAAAUACUGGCUAUUUUAUUAUGAAUGGCACCACCCAGGAGCACGGGAAGCUAAUGCGGAAAAGAAACCCCAUCCCUGACGCAGGAUACUUUUGUCCAGUGCAAGCUCUGUGGAGACGGGCAACUUCAAAGACUGCUCCAGUCACAGGAUAAACUCAGUCUCCUCCCUUCCCAAUCCACUCCCACUGAAAAGCAAGGAUAAAACUGAUUGUCUGUUAGACUCUAUGAGAACAAAUCAUUUUAAUAUUGAACUUUAUUAACAUAGAUUCAGCCGAAACCGGUUUGGCUCAGUGGAUAGAGCAUCGGCCUGCGGACUGAAAGGUCCCAGGUUCGAUUCCAGUCAAGGGCAUGUACCUUGGUUGCGGGCACAUCCCCAGUAGGGGUUGUGCAGGAGGCAGCUGAUCGAUGUUUCUCUAUCAUCGAUGUUUCUAGCUCUCUAUCCCUCUCUCUUCCUCUCUGUAAAAAAUCAA